rnacentral:rRNA from 1 species
GUGCCAGCCGCCGCGGUAACACGUAAGGGGCGAGCGUUGUUCGGAAUUAUUGGGCGUAAAGGGCACGCAGGCGGUUAUACAAGUCCGAUGUUAAAGACCUGGGCUUAACUCAGGGGAUGCGUUGGAAACUGUAUGACUAGAAUCUUGGAGGGGGAGUCGGAAUUCCUAGUGUAGGGGUGAAAUCUGUUGAUAUUAGGAAGAACACCGGUGGCGAAGGCGGACUCCUGGCCGAAGAUUGACGCUGAGGUGCGAAAGCAUAGGGAGCAAACAGGAUUAGAAACCCGCGUAGUCC